GAUGAACGCUGGCGGCGUGCCUAAUACAUGCAAGUAGGACGCUGAAGGAAGGAGCUUGCUCUUUCCGGAUGAGUUGCGAACGGGUGAGUAACGCGUAGGUAACCUGCCUGGUAGCGGGGGAUAACUAUUGGAAACGAUAGCUAAUACCGCAUAACAGUAGAUGUUGCAUGAUAUCUACUUAAAAGGUGCAAUUGCACCACUACCAGAUGGACCUGCGUUGUAUUAGCUAGUUGGUGAGGUAACGGCUCACCAAGGCGACGAUACAUAGCCGACCUGAGAGGGUGAUCGGCCACACUGGGACUGAGACACGGCCCAGACUCCUACGGGAGGCAGCAGUAGGGAAUCUUCGGCAAUGGACGGAAGUCUGACCGAGCAACGCCGCGUGAGUGAAGAAGGUUUUCGGAUCGUAAAGCUCUGUUGUAAGAGAAGAACGAGUGUGAGAGUGGAAAGUUCACACUGUGACGGUAUCUUACCAGAAAGGGACGGCUAACUACGUG
rnacentral:rRNA from 1 species